rnacentral:rRNA from 1 species
CACGUAGGCGGUCGGGUAAGUCGAGUGUGAAAUUCCGGGGCUCAACCCCGCGAACUGCAUUCGAUACUGCUCGACUAGAGAGAGGUAGGGGCGAGUGGAAUUCCCGGUGUAGCGGUGGAAUGCGUAGAUAUCGGGAAGAACACCGGUGGCGAAGGCGGCUCGCUGGGCCUUUUCUGACGCUGAAGCGCGAAAGCGUGGGGAGCAAACA